rnacentral:rRNA from 1 species
CCUACGGGAGGCUGCAGUGGGGGAUAUUGCACAAUGGGGGAAACCCUGAUGCAGCGACGCCGCGUGUGGGAAGACGGUCCUCUGGAUUGUAAACCACUGUCCCCAGGGACGAAGAUGACGGUACCUGGGGAGGAAGCUCCGGCUAACUACGUGCCAGCAGCAGCGGUAAUAGGUAGGGAGAGAGCGUUGUCCGGAAUUACUGGGGGUAAAGGGAGCGUAGGCGGGGAUGCAAGUUGGGGGUCAAAACUACCGGCUCAACUGGUAGCCGCACUCAAAACUGCAGCUCUUGAGUGAAGUAGAGGCGGGCGGAAGUCCUAGGGGAGCGGUGAAAUGCUUAGAUAGUAGGAGGAACCCCAGUGGCGAAGGGGGCCUGCUGGGCUUUUACUGACGCUGAGGCUCGAAAGUGUGGGGAGCAAACAGGAUUAGAUACCCUUGUAGUC